rnacentral:rRNA from 1 species
GACGAACGCUGGCGGCGUGCUUAACACAUGCAAGUCGAACGGAAAGGCCCUGCUUUUGUGGGGUGCUCGAAUGGCGAACGGGUGAGUAACACGUGAGUAACCUGCCCUUGACUUUGGGAUAACUUCAGGAAACUGGGGCUAAUACCGGAUAGGAGCUCCUGCUGCAUGGAGGGGGUUGGAAAGUUUCGGCGGUUGGGGAUGGACUCGCGGCUUAUCAGCUUGUUGGUGGGGUAGUGGCUUACCAAGGCUUUGACGGGUAGCCGGCCUGAGAGGGUGACCGGCAACGUUGGGACUGAGAUGCGGCCCAGACUCCUACGGGAGGCAGGGGUGGGGAAUAUUGCACAAUGGGCGGAAGCCUGAUGCAGCAACGCCGCGUGCGGGAUGACGGCCUUCGGGUUGUAAACCGCUUUCGCCUGUGACGAAGCGUGAGUGACGGUAAUGGGUAAAGAAGCACCGGCUAAAUACGUG